UGUACUUGCAUGGUGUGUACUUAGCCGGGUUUUAAAGCUCCUUUCCGUUCAGGUGAAUGGGAUAAAACCGCAACCUCCUGCACUGCCGCCACUGUUAGAUGUGCCAGUUUAGACUAUAGAGGAGUUAUAGCACAUGCGCCAGGCCCCUUAAACAUCUCAUUGUCAAGGGUGGCAACAGUCAGACCCUCCACCAAUCUGAUAUCGAUGGCCUUCCAGUUCUGCCGAACAUGCACGUCAUUUCAAUAGAGCAAGUGAGGAGAGGCGUCUACCAGGCACCAACUUCAGUGAAGUGUUCAAAAAAAAAAAAAAAAAAAACUCUUAGACACUUGUAAGCCAGUAUGUCCCGUACAGAACAGCAAUUAACAGACAAAUCUAAUUUCUUCUUUCACCAACCCUUUUCAGAAGAGAGAUUAAUAAGUAAUACCUACAGUAUAUAGUCAUCUAUCAAAAUUAAAUUCUUAACAUUUAUUUUUUCAUAAUUUUUCUUUUCAUUAUACAUUUUUAAAAAAAAUUAAAAAUCAGUGGGGUAAUUAGAUUUCAUGCUGGUAACCAAUAGGCCGACGGUUCCAUGUUACUUUUCAGCUCUGUAGAAGGAGUACUGUAACAAAGGCUCACACAAUCACUGGAGGGUGAGGUUAUAAUGGCGGUACAUACUGCAGUUAUUAAAGGGGUUUUCCAAGUGAUUGGUGGUGCUCCAGGACCUCGGACCCCCCACUGAACAUUUGUUCGAAAAGGCAGCAGCGCUCGCAGUAACACCAGGGCCUUAUCCAGCGGCCACAAGGCCACGGCACAGCUCCAUUGAAGUGAAUGGGGCCGAGUGCGAUACCAAGCACAGUCGCUAUACAAUGUACGGUGCUGUGCUUGGUGAGCUGAGAGAAGGCUGUAACACUACUGCAAGUGUUGGUGGCUUUUCAAAUGGCUGAUUGGUGGGGGUCCCAGGUGUCGGACCACCACCCAUGACCUAUCCAGAGGAUAAGUCAACAGUAAAAGACACUUAAAAAAGGGCUUUACUGGGGUUGUUCAGGAAAAGAAAAACAUGACCGCUUUCCUACUAAAACAGCACCACACCUGUCCUCGGGUUGUGUGUGGUAUUGCAGCUGAGCUCUAUUGACGUGGUAUUGCAACUCUGCUCCAUUCACACACAACCUGUGGACAGGUAUGGUGCCGUUUUUGGAAGAGAGCAACCAUAUUUUUCUUAUCCUGGACAACCCCUUCAACAGACAGAGGGAGACUGCUGUGCGGCACCAUCUCUGCUGAUUUUAGGAGGGCAGUAUAAGACUACAGACAUUUUUCAGCUCCAUUCACUGCUAUUGCACAAGUCCUACAUUACAUGAAUUUUUUAUUUUUUAUGUUUUUUGAGUCUUUAGUGGCAUUUUGUAUUUUGAGAAAUUUGAAGAAAACCUGUUGGUAAGACAGAGGUUAAUGAACCACUGAUAUAAUGCAGUAGGGCUUAUGUCACAGCUGCACCAGGGUUUUGUACCCCAAAAAUUAUAAGAGUGGGGUUAAGUUGUAGUUAUUAAUCACAACUUUUUUUUGUUUUUCUGGUGUUUUUCUAGUCGUGUUAAAAUACAUAUGGGGAAAAUACAAAAAAAAAAAAAAAAAAAAAAAUAUACCAAAACAAGAAGAAAAAAAAAAAAUUAUAAUAUAAUAAAAUAAAAAAGUACAAAGACACUUGACUUCUAUAUCUCACUGCAGACUUUAAAAUAACAUCUGCACACCCCAUUAAAACCACCAACAAAAACACUGCAACAAAAAAAAAAAAAAAUCAUCAACAUUUUUGACAGACUCCCUUAAAUUCAUCAUAUUACUAAAAAUUUGUUUUCUUUCCGGCAGAGAUCUUGAGAGCGGUGGCUUUGCACACAAUCAAAUGCACUGUGUACAUAGAGUUCAAUGCAUACAGAUCGGCCAUUACCAUACAGCGUGAGCAAACUACUGCAGUACAAUGAUCUCAGCUUGGAAAGUAUCUGCCGCAGAUGUUAGCAGAAUUCAUUUAUCCUGGGGGACCUCUUUAAUAUAAAAGCUCUCACCGAUAGAGGAUCCCUCACCUCUCCCGACAUAUAAUAAACUCAGAAGUGUUGUAUUCUAAGAACCCUGCAAUGUACUGUUCCUCCUGGAAAUCUACAAAUAGGUUAACAACUAAGGCCGGGUCAACAUCAUUUAUUUUUCCAUCGUUCUGAUCCGUCAGAAGAACAGAAAAAAAAA